CAACACACACACACACACACACACACACACACACCACAUAUAUGCCAAAGAGGGAUGUCCGGCGUAGAGCUCCGGAGAACGGUGGACGGAAGAUCAGGCCACCACACCUAUCUCCAUCUCCAAGUAGACCGGCCCCAUCACCAUGGCGAUCGGUGAAGCACUCCAAGCCUGUAAAGUUUUUGAAGCGAUGGUCCUCAGAGUCCAUGAUGGUGUGGGGGGAGCCGUACUGAAGAGAGUGUUGAUCAGCAGAAACAGAGGAGCAGCAGCUUACUGUACGAGAGUGAUGGUGGUGUUUUGUUAAGGCCUCAUACUUGUACAGAUGUUCUUGCUUCGUCUCCUUCUUUGAUCGUGCCCACUAAUUUCUCUCCUCGCUCCAGUCUUGAUCAGGGAUGCAAGCAGGAUGCAGAGGUAGUGAUUACUGUAACAGUAGAAGGGAGUCCAGGGCCAGUUAGGACCAUGAUUAAAUUGGGAUCUAAUGUGGAGGACACAAUUAAGCUUGUGGUAGACAAGUACAGUGAAGAAGGGCGAACCCCAAAACUUGACAAGAAUGCAGCAUCAACAUGUGAAUUGCAUCAUUCCUAUUUCAGCCUUCGAAGUUUAGAUAAAUCAGAAUUGGUUGGGGAUGUUGGUAGCAGAAGCUUCUAUCUCAGAAGCAGCAGCCGCAAUCGUAGAAGUAAUGGAGGCUCAGCUUCUUCCAUUGCAGAAACAGUUUCUGGGAGAGCCACCACCACCACCACCACCAAUUCCAUGCCCUCCAUUCUUACUUCAGGAAUUCUUUGCUAGCAAAUUUGGCAAAAUUGUGAGAAGGACGCUUCAGCUUUGGAAGGUCUUGGUUUGCUGGAAAUGACACCAAGAUCCUGUCUUUGUUGGCGUUCAAUAGCAUCACAUUAUCUACUUGGCUCUAACAUAAAUCAAGAUCCCUUUUUUUCA